UAGGGAAUCUUCGGCAAUGGGGGCAACCCUGACCGAGCAACGCCGCGUGGGUGAAGAAGGUUUUCGGAUCGUAAAGCUCUGUUGUAAGUCAAGAACGAGUGUGAGAGUGGAAAGUUCACACUGUGACGGUAGCUUACCAGAAAGGGACGGCUAACUACGUGCCAGCAGCCGCGGUAAUACGUAGGUCCCGAGCGUUGUCCGGAUUUAUUGGGCGUAAAGCGAGCGCAGGCGGUUUGAUAAGUCUGAAGUUAAAGGCUGUGGCUCAACCAUAGUUCGCUUUGGAAACUGUCAAACUUGAGUGCAGAAGGGGAGAGUGGAAUUCCAUGUGUAGCGGUGAAAUGCGUAGAUAUAUGGAGGAACACCGGUGGCGAAAGCGGCUCUCUGGUCUGUAACUGACGCUGAGGCUCGAAAGCGUGGGGAGCGAACAGGAUUAGAUACCCUGGUAGUCCACGCCGUAACGAUGAGUGCUAGGUGUUGGAUCCUUUCCGGGAUUCAGUGCCGCAGCUAACGCAUUAAGCACUCCGCCUGGGGAGUACGACCGCAAGGUU
rnacentral:rRNA from 1 species